GGUUAAAACUCAAAGGAAUUUGACGGGGGCCCGCACAAGCAUCGGAGCGUGUGGUUUAAUUCGAUGAUACGCGUAGAACCUUACCUGGGCUUGACAUGGUGGUAGUAGUGAAGCGAAAGCGGAACGGACACUUCGGGGACCCAUCACAGGUGCUGCAUGGCUGUCGUCAGCUCGUGUCGUGAGAUGUUGGGUUAAGUCCCGCAACGAGCGCAACCCUCGUCGCUAGUUAUAUGUGUCUAGUGAGACUGCCGGUAUCAAACCGGAGGAAGGUGGGGAUGACGUCAAGUCAGCAUGGUCUUUAUGUCCAGGGCUACACACACGCUACAAUGGCCGGUACAAUGGGUUGCCAUACCGCGAGGUGGAGCUAAUCCUCAAAGCCGGUCUCAGUUCGGAUUGCAGUCUGCAACUCGACUGCAUGAAGGUGGAGUUGCUAGUAACCGCGCGUCAGCAAUAGUGCGGUGAAUGCGUUCCCGGGCCUUGUACACACCGCCCGUCACAUCAUGGGAGUCGGCAACACCUGAAGUCGGUGACCAAACCGAAAGGUAGGACUGCCUAAGGUGGCCGGUAACUGGGAUGAAGUCG
rnacentral:rRNA from 1 species